AGGACAAACGCUGGCGGCGUGCAUAAAAACAUGCAAGUCGGACGAGCCAAUCCCCGCAAGGGGAAAGGCUAGUGGCGAACGGCUGAGUAACACGUAGGUGAUCUGCCCUGAAGUGGGGGAUAACGACUCGAAAGAGUCGCUAAUACCGCAUGUGACCAUCGAUCCGUUUUCGAUGCUCAAAGUCGUAAGACGCUUUAGGAGGAGCCUGCGGCGGAUUAGCUAGUUGGUGAGGUAAUGGCCCACAAGGCUUCGAUCCGUAGCUGGUCUGAGAGAUGACCAGCCAGACUGGGACUGAGACACGGCCAGACUCCUACGGGAGCAGCAGGUUAGGAAGUUUUGCGUCGAAGUCGGGGGAAACCUGACGCACGCCGACGCCGCGUGCCGGA
rnacentral:rRNA from 1 species